UAGUGUUGACUAUCAUGCCACGUUUAGUCCGGUCAUCAAACCAACUACUGUACAUUUGGUUCUCUCUAUUACUGUCCAGCGGAAUUAGCCCCUACGCCAGCUUGAUGUUAACAACGCAUUCUUGUAAGGUCAUUUAGAAAAAGAAUUGUAACGGUCCAACCUCCAGAUUUUGUAGACGAUCAGUUUCCCUCCCACAUAUGUCAUCUAAAAAAAGCAAUAUAUGGCCUCAAGCAAGGCCCUCGGGCGUAGUACAAUGAACUUAAGACAUUUCUUCUUUAUUUGGGAUUUGUCAAGUCAGAAUCUGAUGCCUCACUCUUUAUUCACAAAGUGUCAAAAAACAUUUUGUACGCACUGUUUUAUGUAGACGAUAUCAUUAUUACAGGGAAUCACAGCGCAGAGGUAAAUCGGGUUAUUGCUCGUCUUGCUAGGCGUUUUUCCAUUAAGGAUCUUGGGAAUCUAAACUUCUUUCUUGGAGUGGAGGUGCUCCGAACUGCCAAAGGAAUCACUUUAUCACAUUCCAACUACAUCAAUGAAAUCAUCUUUGAUAAAAACAUGAAGGACUGUAAUUCAGCAAAAAAAACCAAUGAGUUCCACUGAAGUGCCUCAACUACAUGAUGGAGUGGAACCAACUGAUGCCACUUGCUACAGGAGAGUUCUUGAAAAACUACAGUACUUGUCUUUCACUCGUCCAGACAUUAGGUUCUCUGUGAAUAAAUUGUCUCAAUUUAUGCACUCUCCAUCUGAAGUGCACUGGAAAGCACUCAAAUGAGUACUUAGGUAUCUCCAAGAAACACUUUAGUUCGCUCUUCACAUUCAAAAAGGGAGCUGGUCUUCCGGGAAACAAAGAAAAAUUGCUUGCUUAUCAACUGAAGCAGAGUAUCGUGUUGUUGUAAGUGCACUGGUUAAGACCAACUGGGUGACAAAUCUGCUAAAAGAAUUACAUGUUUCAUUUCCUCAAAGAGCAACCAUUUACUAUGACAAUGUUGGUGCAACUUAUUUGUGUGCAAAUCCAGUUUUUCAUAGCCGCAUGAGCACAUUGCUGUAGACUUUCACUUUGUUUGCAAACAAGUUCAGUAGAAUCAAGUUCACAUUGUUCAUAUUCAUGUUGCAGAACAAAUCGCGGAUACUCUAACUAAAGCUCUACCAAAGCCGGCAUUUGAUAAACACCUAUUCAAGCUAGGCUUUGCUACACAUUGCCUAUCUUGAGGGGGGCCUAUUGUCGCAUACAUCCUAUCUUGGAAGAUAUCUCACGAUUGAUCUUCCUCAUCUCAGUAGAUCUUCCAUAUCUCAGUAUCUCAUAGUGAUUUAGUUUUUAUUUAGGAGAAGAUCACAAUUCUUUAUUAGUUGAUUCUAACCUUAUUUAGUUUGUAUUCUCUUGUAUAUAUACACAUACAUAUCAAUGAAAUCAAUAGAAUCUUUCAUA